AAAAUAUUUUCAAAGCCGUUUGUCAUUCCUUAAAGCCAGGAUUUUAAAGACCAAUGUCCUUCUUGAGGGUUAUUUUACUAUACUAUGUAUGGUGUAUAGCCACAAAAAAUCAGUCUGAUAAAUUUUAAUGUGCAAGGGUGAUGCAUUUCAACCCAAAUUACCAUAAACUGAAGUCAUUACAUUUCCUCUGAUAUGUAAAAUGACAAACUCUUCUUUCUGUAUUAAUCUUUGUCUAAAAUCCACGAAUUAGAUGCAUUUUCUCUUGAGGCUUUUAUAUCUGCACUCAUUCUGAGUUCUGACAAAAUGUUUUCUAGGUAAUGCUGUUGUACGAGUCACAAUUGGUUUAAUUUUAAAGAAAAAUGUAAUGGUGGGUUUUUGGUGAAAGGUAUUGUAACAGGUGUAUGUUUUUCAAAAUAAUUUAUUCUGUUGCAGUAUGAACUGUAAGUAAAUUCACAUCCAGAGAGUAUUUAUUACUCUUAAACUUGCAAUUCCACAUGAUGUCACUGUACACAAAAAUAUUAUCAGCCUUAGCAGUCAGUGAUCUUAAAUGAAGUCUUUUACAAAAUUAUGAAUUAUCAACAUCAGUUCCCAGCCACUGUGGUGUCCUC
rnacentral:lncRNA from 1 species